rnacentral:rRNA from 1 species
ACAUAUCAAUAAGCGGAGGAAAAGAAACCAACAGGGAUUGCCUCAGUAACGGCGAGUGAAGCGGCAAAAGCUCAAAUUUGAAAUCUGGCUCUUUCAGGGUCCGAGUUGUAAUUUGUAGAAGAUGCUUUGGGUGUGGCUCUGGUUUAAGUUCUUUGGAAUAUUACAUCAUAGAGGGUGAGAAUCCCGUAUGUGACCAGUCGCCGCGCCCGUGUAAAGCUCUUUCAACGAGUCGAGUUGUUUGGGAAUGCAGCUCAAAAUGGGAGGUAUAUUUCUUCUAAAGCUAAAUAUUGGCCAGAGACCGAUAGCGCACAAGUAGAGUGAUCGAAAGAUGAAAAGCACUUUGGAAAGAGAGUUAAACAGUACGUGAAAUUGUUGAAAGGGAAGCGCUUGCAACCAGACUUGCACGCAGUUGAUCAUCCGGUGUUCUCACCGGGGCACUCUGCUGCGUUCAGGCCAGCAUCGUUUUUGGUGGUUGGAUAAAGACCUUGGGAAUGUAGCUUCUUUCGGGGAGUGUUAUAGCCCUCGGUGCAAUGCAGCCUACCGGGAACGAGGACCGCGCUUCGGCUAGGAUGCUGGCGUAAUGGUUGUAAGCGGCCCGUCUUGAAACACGGACCAAGGAGUC